GGCACUGUGCCCUCUUGCGCAACAAAGUCUCCAUUCCAGGAGGACACACAUAAUGUUACCUGCUGCUCGGAUGUAGACUCUACUAGCCCUAUGCUGCAGAGAUCACAGCAGGAUAUACCACCUCCUUUUACAUCUGCUACCCACGAGCUCCUUCCUGAAUCUACAGCUCAAGUUGACG
rnacentral:lncRNA from 1 species